ACGAGCUGACUCCCGCUAUAAACACGUAAACAAUAUAAAUUACUAGUGACCUUUAUUACUACCUUAAUUUAUUAUUUUAAUUUUCUAUUUAUCUUUUUUCUAUUUCAUUGUUGAUAAAGAAUGCAAUCUUUACACUAUUAGAAUAGUAAUACACGUGAACUGACUAAUGGUCCAAAGGAGCAACCCUGGAAUCAAAGGAUAGACGAUUUGAGUUACUCAAUAAAUAAACGAACGAUAUAAAGCAAAGAUAAUUAUAAGCACACUAACUUGAAUACUCGUGUCCUGUGUGCUAAACCCUUUUUACUUCACACUGGUAUUGUAAGUAGUAGCAUGAAGUAAUUACAUUAAUAGCAGAUAACGGAUUUUUAAAU